rnacentral:misc_RNA from 1 species
CCGAGUUUACAACUCCCAAACCCAAUGUGAACGUUACCAAACGGUUGCCUCGGCGGGGUCACGCCCCGGGUGCGUAAAAGCCCCGGAACCAGGCGCCCGCCGGAGGAACCAACCAAACUCUUUCUGUAGUCCCCUCGCGGACGUAUUUCUUACAGCUCUGAGCAAAAAUUCAAAAUGAAUCA